ACUGAGAGUCAGUGAGAAACAGCUGGAACACCUGGUGACAGAGAACACAGUUCAGUCUGCUCAGUUUUCCCUGAUGGAGUCCAGACUGUCAGAAAGCAAAAACAACACCACAGUUAAAUUUUCCCUGAUGGAGUCCAGACUGAUGGACACCAAC